rnacentral:rRNA from 2 species
AACUCUGGUAUUGAUUGGUGCUUGCAUCAUGAUUUACAUUUGAGUGAGUGGCGAACUGGUGAGUAACACGUGGGAAACCUGCCCAGAAGCGGGGGAUAACACCUGGAAACAGAUGCUAAUACCGCAUAACAACUUGGACCGCAUGGUCCGAGUUUGAAAGAUGGCUUCGGCUAUCACUUUUGGAUGGUCCCGCGGCGUAUUAGCUAGAUGGUGAGGUAACGGCUCACCAUGGCAAUGAUACGUAGCCGACCUGAGAGGGUAAUCGGCCACAUUGGGACUGAGACACGGCCCAAACUCCUACGGGAGGCAGCAGUAGGGAAUCUUCCACAAUGGACGAAAGUCUGAUGGAGCAACGCCGCGUGAGUGAAGAAGGGUUUCGGCUCGUAAAACUCUGUUGUUAAAGAAGAACAUAUCUGAGAGUAACUGUUCAGGUAUUGACGGUAUUUAACCAGAAAGCCACGGCUAACUACGUGCCAGCAGCCGCGGUAAUACGUAGGUGGCAAGCGUUGUCCGGAUUUAUUGGGCGUAAAGCGAGCGCAGGCGGUUUUUUAAGUCUGAUGUGAAAGCCUUCGGCUCAACCGAAGAAGUGCAUCGGAAACUGGGAAACUUGAGUGCAGAAGAGGACAGUGGAACUCCAUGUGUAGCGGUGAAAUGCGUAGAUAUAUGGAAGAACACCAGUGGCGAAGGCGGCUGUCUGGUCUGUAACUGACGCUGAGGCUCGAAAGUAUGGGUAGCAAACAGGAUUAGAUACCCUGGUAGUCCAUACCGUAAACGAUGAAUGCUAAGUGUUGGAGGGUUUCCGCCCUUCAGUGCUGCAGCUAACGCAUUAAGCAUUCCGCCUGGGGAGUACGGCCGCAAGGCUGAAACUCAAAGGAAUUGACGGGGGCCCGCACAAGCGGUGGAGCAUGUGGUUUAAUUCGAAGCUACGCGAAGAACCUUACCAGGUCUUGACAUACUAUGCAAAUCUAAGAGAUUAGACGUUCCCUUCGGGGACAUGGAUACAGGUGGUGCAUGGUUGUCGUCAGCUCGUGUCGUGAGAUGUUGGGUUAAGUCCCGCAACGAGCGCAACCCUUAUUAUCAGUUGCCAGCAUUAAGUUGGGCACUCUGGUGAGACUGCCGGUGACAAACCGGAGGAAGGUGGGGAUGACGUCAAAUCAUCAUGCCCCUUAUGACCUGGGCUACACACGUGCUACAAUGGAUGGUACAACGAGUUGCGAACUCGCGAGAGUAAGCUAAUCUCUUAAAGCCAUUCUCAGUUCGGAUUGUAGGCUGCAACUCGCCUACAUGAAGUCGGAAUCGCUAGUAAUCGCGGAUCAGCAUGCCGCGGUGAAUACGUUCCCGGGCCUUGUACACACCGCCCGUCACACCAUGAGAGUUUGUAACACCCAAAGUCGGUGGGGUAACCUUU